UACGUAGGGUGCGAGCGUUACUCGGAAUUACUGGGCGUAAAGCGUGCGCAGGCGGUUCGUUGUGUCUGCUGUGAAAGCCCCGGGCUCAACCUGGGAAUGGCAGUGGAAACUGGCGAGCUGGAGUGUGGCAGAGGGGGGUGGAAUUCCGCGUGUAGCAGUGAAAUGCGUAGAGAUGCGGAGGAACACCGAUGGCGAAGGCAGCCCCCUGGGCUGACACUGACGCUCAGGCACGAAAGCGUGGGGAGCAAACAGG
rnacentral:rRNA from 1 species